UAUGAAUAGAAUUAACAUUUUAAAACAAUAUAAUUAACAUCUAAAAGAAAAAAAUAUUCAUCCUGGGGUUGAGAAAUCCCUUUAAUAUUAAAAAUAGAAGCCAAGAAAGGAAUUAUUAUUGGACAUCCCUCUCAGGCAAUGGAAAUGAUAGAAAUCUCUCCACUACCUGUCUGGCUCUAUGACCAUAGGUGGCAGUUCCAAUUUUGCUCCCCAAGGAAGUUCUUUCCUAUUGUCAAGCUGGUCUCUGCUGGUAUCCUCCUUAUGCAGUUCCACCUGUUGAGCUCUCUUCAGAUCAGAGCCAUCCUGGGACCACAAAGAGAGCUGGGUAAGAGCAGGUGUGGACACAGCAUGGACUCUUUAUUUAGUUCAGCUGAGCUUUUUGUGGCCACGGAGGGAAGGAAGAGAGGCUCAGCAGAAAGGGUUCAAUCAGCUGAGACUUGCACAGAUUAGCCAUUUCCCCAGCUUCUCCAUUGUGCUUGUCACAGAAGAAGAAGGCACUUGUUGAUGGAGUGCCCUUUGUCAAAGGAAGCUUUCUGAAGCUCAGGCUUCUCCUGAAGUCCAUGGUUCAGAUCA